UACGGAGGGGGCGAGCGUUAUUCGGAAUUAUUGGGCGUAAAGGGCGCGUAGGCGGCCCGAUAAGUCAAAGGUGAAAUCCCUCGGCUCAACUGAGGAACUGCCUUUGAAACUGUCGGGCUUGAGGCCGGGAGAGGGUAGCGGAAUUCCCGGUGUAGAGGUGAAAUUCGUAGAUAUCGGGAGGAACACCAGUGGCGAAGGCGGCGAUCUGGGAAGAUACUGACGCUGAGGUGCGAAAGCGUGGGGAGCAAACAGG
rnacentral:rRNA from 1 species